rnacentral:rRNA from 1 species
UACGUAGGGCGCAAGCGUUGUCCGGAAUUAUUGGGCGUAAAGAGCUCGUAGGUGGCUGGUCGCGUCUGCCGCGAAAGCCCGCGGCUCAACCGCGGGUCUGCAGUCGAUACGGGCAGGCUAGAGUUCGGUAGGGGGAGACGUGGAAUUCCUGGUGUAGCAGUGAAAUGCGUAGAUAUCAGGAGGAAUACCGAUGGCGAAGGCAGGUCUCUGGGCUGACACUGACGCUCAUGCACGAAAGCGUGGGGAGCAAACAGG